rnacentral:rRNA from 1 species
GGUGAACACUGGCGGCAGGCUUAACACAUGCAAGUCGAGCGCCCCGCAAGGGGAGCGGCAGACGGGUGAGUAACGCGUGGGAAUCUACCCAUCUCUACGGAAUAACGCAUGGAAACGUGUGCUAAUACCGUAUACGUCCUUCGGGAGAAAGAUUUAUCGGAGAUGGAUGAGCCCGCGUUGGAUUAGCUAGUUGGUGGGGUAAAGGCCUACCAAGGCGACGAUCCAUAGCUGGUCUGAGAGGAUGAUCAGCCACACUGGGACUGAGACACGGCCCAGACUCCUACGGGAGGCAGCAGUGGGGAAUAUUGGACAAUGGGCGCAAGCCUGAUCCAGCCAUGCCGCGUGAGUGAUGAGGGUCCUAGGGUUGUAAAGCUCUUUCUCCGGUGAAGAUAAUGACGGUAACCGGAGAAGAAGCCCCGGCUAACUUCGUGCCAGCCGCCGCAGUAAUAC